GAUGAACGCUAGCUACAGGCUUAACACAUGCAAGUCGAAGGACCGGCGCACGUGUGAGUAACACGUAUCCAACCUACCUUUAACUCGGGGAUAGCCUUUCGCAAGAGAUAUUAAUACCCGAUGUAAAGGAUGGGGAUGCGUUCCGUUAGGUUGUUGGUGAGGGAACGGCUAACCAAGCAUUCGAUGGAUAGGGGUGCUGAGAGGAAGGUCCACCACAUUUGAACUGAGACACGGUCCAAUCUCGUACGGGAGGCAGUAGUGAGGAAUAUUGGUCAAGGGGCGUUAGCCUGAACCAGCCAAGUGGAGUGAAGGAUGAAGGCUUAUGGGUCGUAAACUACUUUUAUAUAAGAAUAUGUAUUAUAUGAAUAAGGAUCGGCUAACUCCGUGCCAGCCGCCGCGGUAAUUC
rnacentral:rRNA from 1 species